UUUGGGCAUCAUUGCAAAAGGUAUAUUUGGCACAAAAUCAACACUGCUCAUCACCAAAAGAACACCAUACCUACAGUGAAGCAUGGUGGUGGCAGCAUCAUGCUUUGGGGCUGUUUUUCUUCAGCUGGAACUGGUGCCUUAGUCAGGGUGGAGGGAAUUAUGAACAGUUCCAAAUACCAGUCAGUGUUGGCAGAUGAAGAUGAAGAUGAAGAGGAACUUCAUCUUUCAGCACGACAGUGACCCAAAGCACACAUCUAAAUCAACAAAAGAAUGGCUUCACCUGAAUAAGAUUGAGACUUUGGAAUGGCCCAGCCAAAGUCCAGACCUGAAUCCCAUCGAACAUUUGUGGGGUGAUCUGAAGAGGGCUGUGCACAGGAGAUGCCCUCGCAAUCUGUCAGAUUUGGAGCGGUUUUGCAAAGAAGAGUGGGAAAAUAUUUCCACAUCAAGAUGUGCCACGCUGAUAGACUCCUACCCAAAAAGACUGAAUGCUGUAAUAAAAGCCAAAGGUGCUGCAACAAAGUAUUAGUUUAAGGGUGUGCAUAUUUAUGCAACCAGGUCAUUUUAACUUUUCUAUUUUUAAUUUUCCCCUUAAAGGUUUCAGUUUGUUUUUCAAUUGCAUUGUACAGUUUAUAGGUCACAUUAAAGGUGGAAAAAGUUGUGAAAAAAUGUAUCUUGCUGUCAUUUUCUUACAUCACAAAAACCUGGCAGUUGAACACGGGUGUGUAGACUUUUUAUAUCCACUGUA